AUGUACAUUCUUAAAUCAUCAAUGCACUAGAUCCCAUUAGAAAUCCAUAGUUAAUUGUGUUUGCGAUAGAGAAUUACUAGGAUGGGUGAACUCUCGGGAAGUACUUGUGUUUUGUUUU
rnacentral:rRNA from 1 species